CACCCUCCAUGACCUCGAGGGUCCCGUACCUGGGACCCCUGCGCUGGCUCCUCAUUUGGUUCCCCAAGCCCCAGAAGCCCCCAGUCCUGGAGCUCCUUGCACCAGGCCAGGCGCAGGACUGAGAGGUUCCACAGCUGAAGAUGUGCUUGUGAUCCCUGUGGCUCAUCUCUGGAGGGUCCAUCUUAUCCAGAGUACCAUCAAAGGGAAGCAGAAAAGUAGAAAUGACACAUAAUAUGAACUCCCGCAAGACACUUAUGAACCAGAUCCUCCCAGGAAGACAACCGGAAUUCAUCUCCAGAUGUGGAGCCAAACUACCAGCCUGGCUUCUGCCAGAGAGAAGUAGCCACCUAUGGCCACCAUGGCUGUCAUCACUGCAAGGAGCAUGUGCCUACUCCCCAUGAGCGCCUUUGGGAGUCACCAAAGAAGAGAAUGACUCAGUCCAUAGGGUCCUGGACUCCAGUCUCUCUGGCUCCAUCUAUCCUUGGUAUUGUCACCGGGCAAAAGGCAAAUUGACCAUGAUCUUCAGACCCUUUGACGGUUCUCCACUUAUAGGGAUCUAGAACACAGCAAGUCAGGCGCUCCUCCUCUGAUCUUCAGGAAGCUAUACCUCUCCCUCCUGCUCUCACAGGUCAGCCUCCAGGAAUCCACUCUUUUCCUGUCUUCUCCACUGCCAACUUGCCUUCUCAGCUGCACACAGAAGUUGCUCAGCCAAUACUUCCUGGAUUGAAUUAAGGACGGACAGUUCUCUACCUCUAUUUUCACCAAAGGUUUGCUCAGGGAAGGGGUGGGGAGAUAAAGCAGAUCAACUACUGAGAGGGGAGAAAAGCCUUCUGGGCCAGGGAGGCUGGGCAUAGGGAAGAGAACACUGAUGGGGACUGACCAAGACCCCAACCUGAGGGGGGGAGGCAGGGAAGUCUGUCUGAGCCAAGAUAAGAUAGUGGCCAUCCUGUCUUCUGGGGUUCAGCAGCCAACUCAAGGAGCAAAGGGAGAGGGUAAAAAAACCUGUUCUGGGGCCGGCCUGGUGGCUCAGGCGGUUAGAGCUCCAUGCUCCUAACUCUGAAGGCUGCUGGUUCGAUUCCCACGU